rnacentral:rRNA from 1 species
AUUGAACGCUGGCGGCAGGCUUAACACAUGCAAGUCGAGCGAGCGGCGGACGGGUGAGUAACGCCUGGGAAACUGCCUGAUGGAGGGGGAUAACUACUGGAAACGGUAGCCAAUACCGCAUACCAUCAGAUGCGCCCAGAUGGGAUUGGCUAGUAGGUGGGGUAAUGGCUCACCUAGGCGACGAUCCCCAGCUGGUCUGAGAGGAUGACCAGCCACACUGGAACUGAGGCACGGUCCAGACUCCUACGGGAGACAGCAGUGGGGAAUAUUGCACAAUGAGCACAAGCCUGAUGCAGCCAUGCCGCGUGUGUGGAGAAGGCCUUCGGGUUGUAAAGCACUUUCAGCGAAGAGGCGUUACUCGCAGAAGAAGCACCGGCUAACUCCGUGCCAGCAGCCGCGGUAAUUC